rnacentral:rRNA from 1 species
UUGGGCGUAAGAGCUCGUAGGCGGUUUGUCGCGUCUGCUGUGAAAUCCGGAGGCUCAACCUCCGGCCUGCAGUGGGUACGGGCAGACUAGAGUGCGGUAGGGGAGAUUGGAAUUCCUGGUGUAGCGGUGGAAUGCGCAGAUAUCAGGAGGAACACCGAUGGCGAAGGCAGAUCUCUGGGCCGUAACUGACGCUGAGGAGCGAAAGGGUGGGGAGCAAACAGGCUUAGAUACCCUGGUAGUCCACCCCGUAAACGUUGGGAACUAGUUGUGGGGUCCAUUCCACGGAUUCCGUGACGCAGCUAACGCAUUAAGUUCCCCGCCUGGGGAGUACGGCCGCAAGGCUAAAACUCAAAGGAAUUGACGGGGACCCGCACAAGCGGCGGAGCAUGCGGAUUAAUUCGAUGCAACGCGAAGAACCUUACCAAGGCUUGACAUAUACGAGAACGGGCCAGAAAUGGUCAACUCUUUGGACACUCGUAAACAGGUGGUGCAUGGUUGUCGUCAGCUCGUGUCGUGAGAUGUUGGGUUAAGUCCCGCAACGAGCGCAACCCUCGUUCUAUGUUGCCAGCACGUAAUGGUGGGAACUCAUGGGAUACUGCCGGGGUCAACUCGGAGGAAGGUGGGGAUGACGUCAAAUCAUCAUGCCCCUUAUGUCUUGGGCUUCACGCAUGCUACAAUGGCCGGUACAAAGGGCUGCAAUACCGCGAGGUGGAGCGAAUCCCAAAAAGCCGGUCCCAGUUCGGAUUGAGGUCUGCAACUCGACCUCAUGAAGUCGGAGUCGCUAGUAAUCGCAGAUCAGCAACGCUGCGGUGAAUACGUUCCCGGGUCUUGUACACACCGCCCGUCAAGUCAUGAAAGUCGGUAACACCUGAAGCCGGUGGCCUAACCCUUGUGGA